GAGGUCCAGUUUAUAGACACUCUAGGAACACAUAGCCUAGUGCAUAACUAUCUGUAAAGAUAGGAAGGGCAAUGAAGCAAAUGCAAGUGAAUGUAGUUUUAAUGAGUAGAUAAACAAAUUAACAGAAGAUAACCAGCAGGAACAGGAUGGAGAGAGAUGAAGUCACACGUGGCCAGGAAGUAACGGUGAGAUGAGACCGCAGGAGAGCGUGAUGCAGGAACUGAGAUGAGUGAUCCGGUGGAGAGCAGAAUUUACUGGAGCAUCGAUGUCCUGAUGUUGGAGGACGCCCUGCUCCAGCUGAUCCUCAGCAGCAGGGAGGACUUCAGAGACUGGAGCUUCUCCAUGAUCAUGAAUCUCUACAAUUUGCUGUAGAGAAGACUGGUCUACAGAGGGGAAUACCAAUACAGAACUUACUGGAGCAUCGACGUCCUGAUGUUGGAGGACGUCCUGCUCCAUCUGAUCCUCAGCGAUGAGGACUUCAGAGACUGGAGCUUCAUGAAGAUCACAGAUCUCUAUAAUGUGCUGUAGAGAUGACUGAUCUAAA